GGCUUAUUGAUUAUAAUUUUAAGUCGGGCCUGCCCUAUGAAUUUUAAAUGGCUGCGGUAAGUUGACCGUACAAAGGUAGCAUAAUCAUUAGUUUUUUAAUUGAGAGCUUGUAUGAAGGGUUUAAUGAAAAAGAGACUGUCUCUGUGAGAAUUAAUUAGAAUUUUAUUUUUGAGUUAAAAAGCUUAAAUUUGGAUGGAAGACGAGAAGACCCUAUAGAGUUUUAUAUAUAAAAUUACGAUAUUUUUAUAGUAUUUAGGUGUAUUAUUGUUUUAUGUAUUUUGUUGGGGUGAUAGAAAAAUUAAUUUAACUUUUUUUUGUAUAAGUACAUUGAUGUGUGAUUUUUAGAUCCUUGUUAAAGAUUAAAAGAUUAAAUUACCUUAGGGAUAACAGCGUAAUCUUUUCUAGAGUUCUUAUCGAAAGAAGGGUUUGCGACCUCGAUGUUGGAUUAAAAUAAAUUGCUGGUGCAGGAGCUAGUUGAUUAGGUCUGUUCGACCUUUAAAAUUUUACAUGAUCUGAGUUUAAACCGGUGKGAG
rnacentral:rRNA from 1 species